rnacentral:rRNA from 1 species
GAUGAACGCUGGCGGCGUGCUUAACACAUGCAAGUCGAACGGAAAGGCCAGUGCUUGCACUGGUACUCGAGUGGCGAACGGGUGAGUAACACGUGGGUGAUCUGCCCUGCACUUCGGGAUAAGCCUGGGAAACUGGGUCUAAUACCGGAUAGGACAAUGGUUUGGAUGCCGUUGUGGAAAGUUUUUUCGGUGUGGGAUGAGCUCGCGGCCUAUCAGCUUGUUGGUGGGGUAAUGGCCUACCAAGGCGUCGACGGGUAGCCGGCCUGUGAGGGUGUACGGCCACAUUGGGACUGAGAUACGGCCCAGACUCCUACGGGAGGCAGCAGUGGGGAAUAUUGCACAAUGGGCGCAAGCCUGAUGCAGCGACGCCGCGUGGGGGAUGACGGCCUUCGGGUUGUAAACUCCUUUCGCUAGGGACGAAGCGUAUUUGUGACGGUACCUGGAGAAGAAGCACCGGCUAACUACGUG